CCUACGGGUGGCAGCAGUGAGGAAUAUUGGUCAAUGGACGAGAGUCUGAACCAGCCAAGUAGCGUGAAGGAUGACUGCCCUAUGGGUUGUAAACUUCUUGUAUAUGGGAAUAAAAUGUUCCACGUGGGGGAUGUUGUAUGUACCAUAUGAAUAAGGAUCGGCUAACUCCGUGCCAGCAGCCGCGGUAAUACGGAGGAUCCGAGCGUUAUACGGAUUUAUGGGGUUUAAAGGGGGCGUAGGUGGAUUGUUAAGUCAGUUGGGAAAGUUUGCGGCUCAACCGUAAAAUUUCAGUUUAAACUGGCAGUCUUGAGUACCGUAGAGGUGGGCGGAUUUCGUUGUGUCGCGG
rnacentral:rRNA from 1 species